UACGAAGGGGGCUAGCGUUGCUCGGAAUCACUGGGCGUAAAGGGUGCGUAGGCGGGUCUUUAAGUCAGGGGUGAAAUCCUGGAGCUCAACUCCAGAACUGCCUUUGAUACUGAGGAUCUUGAGUUCGGGAGAGGUGAGUGGAACUGCGAGUGUAGAGGUGAAAUUCGUAGAUAUUCGCAAGAACACCAGUGGCGAAGGCGGCAUCCUGGACCGGCAUUGACGCUGAGGAGCGAAAGCCAGGGGAGCAAAGCGGG
rnacentral:rRNA from 1 species